GAAUCAUGGCUCAGGAUGAACGCUAGCUACAGGCUUAACACAUGCAAGUCGAGGGGAAACGACAUCGAAAGCUUGCUUUUGAUGGGCGUCGACCGGCGCACGGGUGAGUAACGCGUAUCCAACCUGCCCACCACUUGGGGAUAACCUUGCGAAAGUAAGACUAAUACCCAAUGACGUCUCUAGAAGACAUCUGAAAGAGAUUAAAGAUUUAUCGGUGAUGGAUGGGGAUGCGUCUGAUUAGCUUGUUGGUGGGGUAACGGCCCACCAAGGCGACGAUCAGUAGGGGUUCUGAGAGGAAGGUCCCCCACAUUGGAACUGAGACACGGUCCAAACUCCUACGGGAGGCAGCAGUGAGGAAUAUUGGUCAAUGGGCGAGAGCCUGAACCAGCCAAGUAGCGUGCAGGACGACGGCCCUAUGGGUUGUAAACUGCUUUUAUAAGGGAAUAAAGUGAGUCUCGUGAGACUUUUUGCAUGUACCUUAUGAAUAAGGACCGGCUAAUUCCGUG
rnacentral:rRNA from 1 species